GACAGAGGUGCCGAGCGUUAGGCGGAAUCACUGGGCUUAAAGCGUGUGUAGGCGGGUCGUUAAGUGUCUUGUGAAAUCCCAACCGCUCAACGGUGGAACCGCUGGGCAUACUGGCGAUCUUGAGCAGUCAGGGGCGAGCGGAACAAGCGGUGGAGCGGUGAAAUGCGUAGAUAUCGCUGGAACGCCGACGGUGAAAACAGCUCGCUGGGGACUCGCUGACGCUGAGACACGAAAGC
rnacentral:rRNA from 1 species